rnacentral:rRNA from 1 species
UACAGAGGGGGCAAGCGUUGUUCGGAAUUACUGGGCGUAAAGGGCGCGUAGGCGGCUCGACAAGUCCCGCGUGAAAGCCCCCGGCUCAACUGGGGAACUGCGCGGGAAACUGUCGGACUUGAGUUCGGGAGAGGGAAGCGGAAUUCCGGGUGUAGCGGUGAAAUGCGUAGAUAUCCGGAGGAACACCGGUGGCGAAGGCGGCUUCCUGGACCGGACACUGACGCUGAGGCGCGAAAGCUAGGGGGAGCAAACAGG